rnacentral:rRNA from 1 species
CCUACGGGAGGCAGCAGUGAGGAAUAUUGGUCAAUGGGCGGGAGCCUGAACCAGCCAAGUCGCGUGAGGGAAGAAGGUACUGAGUAUUGUAAACCUCUUUUGCCAGGGGACAAAGGCGGCCACGGGUGGCCGUAAGAGGGUACCUGGAGAAAAAGCAUCGGCUAACUCCGUGCCAGCAGCCGCGGUAAUACGUAGGUGGCAAGCGUUGUCCGGAUUUACUGGGUGUAAAGGGCGUGUAGCCGGGCUGACAAGUCAGAUGUGAAAUCCGGGGGCUCAACCCCCGAACUGCAUUUGAAACUGUUGGU